rnacentral:rRNA from 1 species
AGUGAACGCUGGCGGUAGGCCUAACACAUGCAAGUCGAACGGCAGCACAGUAAGAGCUUGCUCUUACGGGUGGCGAGUGGCGGACGGGUGAGGAAUACAUCGGAAUCUACUUUUUCGUGGGGGAUAACGUAGGGAAACUUACGCUAAUACCGCAUACGACCUACGGGUGAAAGCAGCGGAUCUUCGGACCUUGCGCGAUUGAAUGAGCCGAUGUCGGAUUAGCUAGUUGGCGGGGUAAAGGCCCACCAAGGCGACGAUCCGUAGCUGGUCUGAGAGGACGAUCAGCCACACUGGAACUGAGACACGGUCCAGACUCCUACGGGAGGCAGCAGUGGGGAAUAUUGGACAAUGGGCGCAAGCCUGAUCCAGCCAUACCGCGUGGGUGAAGAAGGCCUUCGGGUUGUAAAGCCCUUUUGUUGGGAAAGAAAAGCAGCAGGUUAAUACCCCGCUGUUCUGACGGUACCCAAAGAAUAAGCACCGGCUAACUUCGUG